AACGAACGCUGGCGGCGCGCCUAAUACAUGCAAGUCGAGCGAGAAGACGUAGCAAUACGUUUGUAAAGCGGCGAACGGGUGAGGAAUACAUGGGGUAACCUACCCUCGAGUGGGGAAUAACUAGCCGAAAGGUUAGCUAAUACCGCGUACGCUCCUUGGACUUCGGUUCAGGGAGGAAAGCGAUACCGUGGGUAUCGCGCUCUUGGAUGGGCUCAUGUCCUAUCAGCUUGUUGGUGAGGAACGGCUCACCAAGGCUUCGACGGGUAGCUGGUCUGAGAGGACGAUCAGCCACACUGGCACUGCGACACGGGCCAGACUCCUACGGGAGGCAGCAGUAAGGAAUAUUGCGCAAUGGGCGAAAGCCUGACGCAGCGACGCCGCGUGGGGGAUGAAGGUC
rnacentral:rRNA from 1 species